rnacentral:lncRNA from 1 species
AUGUGUCUUCUUACGAGUCCUAAAGCACACAUAAGGACUCCCUUCAGCCCUUGGUUACAGCUUACUGAACUGGGAGUUGCACUUCACCUGUUCCUGUGCCAAGAUGGCUGUGAAAGUGAAGACUAUGUGGGAAAUCAUGCAAGAGAUACAUUGCCUGCAGAAUGGGGAAAAACAUUAAAUCUUGGAGUUGCUGAUGCAGCAAUUAAUAUUGCAACCUUCACUGCCUUCAACGCACGGAAGAAAAGGGUAAGAUAGCCUAGAUGUCUGCUUCCCAUAAAUAACUUAUCUCAAGUCUUAAAGGCAGAGACAGACUUAAAU